GGGUUGUGAGGUUAAGCGACUAAGCGUACACGGUGGAUGCCCUGGCAGUCAGAGGCGAUGAAGGACGUGCUAAUCUGCGAUAAGCGUCGGUAAGGUGAUAUGAACCGUUAUAACCGGCGAUUUCCGAAUGGGGAAACCCAGUGUGUUUCGACACACUAUCAUUAACUGAAUCCAUAGGUUAAUGAGGCGAACCGGGGGAACUGAAACAUCUAAGUACCCCGAGGAAAAGAAAUCAACCGAGAUUCCCCCAGUAGCGGCGAGCGAACGGGGAGCAGCCCAGAGCCUGAAUCAGUGUGUGUGUUAGUGGAAGCGUCUGGAAAGGCGCGCGAUACAGGGUGACAGCCCCGUACACAAAAAUGCACAUGCUGUGAGCUCGAUGAGUAGGGCGGGACACGUGGUAUCCUGUCUGAAUAUGGGGGGACCAUCCUCCAAGGCUAAAUACUCCUGACUGACCGAUAGUGAACCAGUACCGUGAGGGAAAGGCGAAAAGAACCCCGGCGAGGGGAGUGAAAAAGAACCUGAAACCGUGUACGUACAAGCAGUGGGAGCACGCUUAGGCGUGUGACUGCGUACCUUUUGUAUAAUGGGUCAGCGACUUAUAUUCUGUAGCAAGGUUAACCGAAUAGGGGAGCCGAAGGGAAACCGAGUCUUAACUGGGCGUUAAGUUGCAGGGUAUAGACCCGAAACCCGGUGAUCUAGCCAUGGGCAGGUUGAAGGUUGGGUAACACUAACUGGAGGACCGAACCGACUAAUGUUGAAAAAUUAGCGGAUGACUUGUGGCUGGGGGUGAAAGGCCAAUCAAACCGGGAGAUAGCUGGUUCUCCCCGAAAGCUAUUUAGGUAGCGCCUCGUGAAUUCAUCUCCGGGGGUAGAGCACUGUUUCGGCAAGGGGGUCAUCCCGACUUACCAACCCGAUGCAAACUGCGAAUACCGGAGAAUGUUAUCACGGGAGACACACGGCGGGUGCUAACGUCCGUCGUGAAGAGGGAAACAACCCAGACCGCCAGCUAAGGUCCCAAAGUCAUGGUUAAGUGGGAAACGAUGUGGGAAGGCCCAGACAGCCAGGAUGUUGGCUUAGAAGCAGCCAUCAUUUAAAGAAAGCGUAAUAGCUCACUGGUCGAGUCGGCCUGCGCGGAAGAUGUAACGGGGCUAAACCAUGCACCGAAGCUGCGGCAGCGACGCUUAUGCGUUGUUGGGUAGGGGAGCGUUCUGUAAGCCUGCGAAGGUGUGCUGUGAGGCAUGCUGGAGGUAUCAGAAGUGCGAAUGCUGACAUAAGUAACGAUAAAGCGGGUGAAAAGCCCGCUCGCCGGAAGACCAAGGGUUCCUGUCCAACGUUAAUCGGGGCAGGGUGAGUCGACCCCUAAGGCGAGGCCGAAAGGCGUAGUCGAUGGGAAACAGGUUAAUAUUCCUGUACUUGGUGUUACUGCGAAGGGGGGACGGAGAAGGCUAUGUUGGCCGGGCGACGGUUGUCCCGGUUUAAGCGUGUAGGCUGGUUUUCCAGGCAAAUCCGGAAAAUCAAGGCUGAGGCGUGAUGACGAGGCACUACGGUGCUGAAGCAACAAAUGCCCUGCUUCCAGGAAAAGCCUCUAAGCAUCAGGUAACAUCAAAUCGUACCCCAAACCGACACAGGUGGUCAGGUAGAGAAUACCAAGGCGCUUGAGAGAACUCGGGUGAAGGAACUAGGCAAAAUGGUGCCGUAACUUCGGGAGAAGGCACGCUGAUAUGUAGGUGAAGCGACUUGCUCGUGGAGCUGAAAUCAGUCGAAGAUACCAGCUGGCUGCAACUGUUUAUUAAAAACACAGCACUGUGCAAACACGAAAGUGGACGUAUACGGUGUGACGCCUGCCCGGUGCCGGAAGGUUAAUUGAUGGGGUUAGCCGCAAGGCGAAGCUCUUGAUCGAAGCCCCGGUAAACGGCGGCCGUAACUAUAACGGUCCUAAGGUAGCGAAAUUCCUUGUCGGGUAAGUUCCGACCUGCACGAAUGGCGUAAUGAUGGCCAGGCUGUCUCCACCCGAGACUCAGUGAAAUUGAACUCGCUGUGAAGAUGCAGUGUACCCGCGGCAAGACGGAAAGACCCCGUGAACCUUUACUAUAGCUUGACACUGAACAUUGAGCCUUGAUGUGUAGGAUAGGUGGGAGGCUUUGAAGUGUGGACGCCAGUCUGCAUGGAGCCGACCUUGAAAUACCACCCUUUAAUGUUUGAUGUUCUAACGUUGACCCGUAAUCCGGGUUGCGGACAGUGUCUGGUGGGUAGUUUGACUGGGGCGGUCUCCUCCUAAAGAGUAACGGAGGAGCACGAAGGUUGGCUAAUCCUGGUCGGACAUCAGGAGGUUAGUGCAAUGGCAUAAGCCAGCUUGACUGCGAGCGUGACGGCGCGAGCAGGUGCGAAAGCAGGUCAUAGUGAUCCGGUGGUUCUGAAUGGAAGGGCCAUCGCUCAACGGAUAAAAGGUACUCCGGGGAUAACAGGCUGAUACCGCCCAAGAGUUCAUAUCGACGGCGGUGUUUGGCACCUCGAUGUCGGCUCAUCACAUCCUGGGGCUGAAGUAGGUCCCAAGGGUAUGGCUGUUCGCCAUUUAAAGUGGUACGCGAGCUGGGUUUAGAACGUCGUGAGACAGUUCGGUCCCUAUCUGCCGUGGGCGCUGGAGAACUGAGGGGGGCUGCUCCUAGUACGAGAGGACCGGAGUGGACGCAUCACUGGUGUUCGGGUUGUCAUGCCAAUGGCACUGCCCGGUAGCUAAAUGCGGAAGAGAUAAGUGCUGAAAGCAUCUAAGCACGAAACUUGCCCCGAGAUGAGUUCUCCCUGACCCUUUAAGGGUCCUGAAGGAACGUUGAAGACGACGACGUUGAUAGGCCGGGUGUGUAAGCGCAGCGAUGCGUUGAGCUAACCGGUACUAAUGAACCGUGAGGCUUAACCUUACAACGCCGAAGCUGUU
rnacentral:rRNA from 1 species